rnacentral:rRNA from 1 species
UACGUAGGGGGGCUAGCGUUGUCCGGAAUCAUUGGGCGUAAAGCGCGUGUAGGCGGUUUGGUAAGUCCGCUGUGAAAGUCGGGGGCUCAACCCUCGAAUGCCGGUGGAUACUGUCGGACUAGAGUACGGAAGAGGCGAGUGGAAUUCCUGGUGUAGCGGUGAAAUGCGCAGAUAUCAGGAGGAACACCAAUUGCGAAGGCAGCUCGCUGGGACGUUACUGACGCUGAGACGCGAAAGCGUGGGGAGCAAACAGG